rnacentral:lncRNA from 1 species
GCGCACCAAGAGCCUUUGCAACGGAUAAACAGUGGUCAUUCACAUCUGCCACGACAAUUCUAGGUGCUUCGAAGGCACGAGCAGCCAACAAUGUAACAAGUCCUAUAGGUCCUGCUCCCAUGACCAAAACAUUUGUUUCUGGACCGACACUAGCCCGACGACAAGCAUGAACACCAACACUUAAGGGCUCACACAUUGCCCCUUCCUCCAAGCUCACAUUGUUUGGUAGUUUAAAACACAGGUCUCCAGGAUGGACAACCUG